rnacentral:lncRNA from 1 species
AUGGCGCCCGCACCGCGCACCCGCACCGCGCCCGCCGCGGGAGGAGCGACGUUCGCCUUCCCCGGAGAUCCCUCCUCCCGUCCCCCUCGGGUCCUAAAAUGGUGGGUCGGCCGCCCUCCCUCCCCCCUCUUCCUUGUCCUCCUGGUCCCGUCUCCCCCCCCCCGCUCCCGGAGCCCGCCCCGGCCCCGCGGGGCAGCCGCCCCUUCGUCCGUCCCGGCCUGGGCUCCGCGGGGAUGCGGCGCCAGGCCCGCGCCUCUCCCGGGAAUACGGCAACGGCGAUCCCGGGAAUACAGCAACGCCUCUCCCGGGAACACGGCAACGCCGCCCCCGGCGGCCGCCCUUACCUGCGCCGGGCUCACAUGGCGGGGCCGGGGCCCGCGGAGCCCCCCCCGGCGCCCCUCGGCCGCCGCCUCGCCGCCGCCCUGCGCGGGGCCGCAGGUAUGUCAUGAGUGCCGAGCGCGGCUCCAGGUGAGCCGGGCACACCUACAGGAAGGCAGGCGGGCCGCCCUGAUUGGCGUGCGGGGCCGGCGGCCGCGCUCCGACGGCACCGCGGCGGGGCAGGGCAGGGCAGGGCGUCCGAGCCGGAGGUGUGUAUCCUCCAGGAUGUGCUGUGAAGAUUUCAGCAAAAGAGGGAGCUUGGCUCAACCACUAGAGAAGCCCUGCAGCCCACAUCCAGGCAAUCCUGAACCCGUGAGACCCGUGUGGAGUCUCCCAGGCAGGAAAACUCCCCUCAGAAGUGGCACACUGAGAACUCUUCCCUGGCCAGCCACAGAAUCAUCCUUGUGCCUGCUGCUGCCUUCUGAUUCAAUUACUCCUUUCAUUCGUUUGUGUGGGUGCUUUUUUUCAGCAGAGUGGAUCAGCUCCGGCAGCUGAGAUUCCCAUUCCACAUCACUGCAUUUACAGUCAGAUGCAAGGAAAGGGAUGCUUCAAAUUCCCAAGAGCUGACUCUGGAUCAUGUCUCUCUUAGUUUGUUGUCAGACCUCUGGGACAUUAUAUAAAUAGCUAGUGCAUCUUCCCACUGCAUUUUCUAAGUUCCUAGCAGUUGGCAGCGGGUUGGUUGGUCAUCCUGACUGGAAAACUGCUCCUCUUCUAUCCAGAAAAGGGCAACUUAUUGUUUGAGGUGGACUUAACUUCUCCCCCUGUCCUUGGCACCUCCAGCAGCUGCAGAGGCAGUUUUCUGUUUGAUUUCGUGAAUCAUAUCUUGAGAUGCCUUGCUUUCUCUGCCUGCUGCACAGAGUUUGAGUGCCUGAACACAUCUGGAGCCCAGCAGAGUGUGAGCAGGAGAGAGCUUGUCCCGUGCU